GUGCUUGCUUCGGCAGCACAUAUACUAAAAUUGGAACGAUACAGAGAAGAUUAGCAUGGCCCCUGCACAAGGAUGAAUCUAAACAAACUAAGCAAAAGAGAGGACCCUA